rnacentral:lncRNA from 1 species
GGGGGACAACACCAACCUUGGAGCGUAGCUAUGAAAAGAAGGAGGGGCGAGCAGUUGUGAGAGGAGAAGAGGAGGGGCAAACAACGGCUACCAUGAGUCGGAGAGGAGGCGAGCAGGUGGUGGCUAUGAUAGUCGAAUCGGAGUCGCAGAUGAAAGGAGAAGGCGUGUGAUGGCGGCUAGCAGUUAGACUAGUUAGGGUCUAUGGUUUUUAUUUUUUAGUGGAAGGGUCUAGGGUAGGAGCCCAAGUACGGCCU